CGCGGAAUAGCUGAAGUUGUGAGUUAAUUUAGUAUUUGUGGAAGAUUUGUGAGUUUAUUCAGGUAAACAUGGCGUCUAAACGUAAAUGUGACGCCACGGUUCCUGCGGAGGAAAGUGACCAACUGCUCAUCCGCCCGCUAGGAGCAGGACAGGAGGUGGGACGGUCCUGCAUCAUCCUGGAGUUCAAGGGACCAAAGAUUCUGCUGGACUGCGGGAUCCAUCCUGGUCUGGACGGGAUGGACGCUCUGCCGUACAUCGACCUGAUCGACCCGGCUGAAAUUGACCUGCUGCUCAUCAGCCACUUCCACCUGGAUCACUGUGGAGCUCUGCCCUGGUUCCUGCAGAAGACCAGCUUUAAAGGACGCACCUUCAUGACUCACGCCACCAAGGCCAUCUACCGCUGGCUGCUGUCCGACUACGUCAAAGUCAGUAACAUCUCUGCAGACGACAUGUUGUACACGGAGACGGACCUGGAGGAGAGCAUGGAGAAGAUGGAGACCAUCAACUUCCACAGUGCGGACGGUAACAAGUGGUGAACACAGCGCGGGCUCUUCAGUCUCCACCGACCCUGGGUCUCCCCGACUGUAACACACAUUUCACCCAGACUGUUGAUGAAAAGGGGGGGUACAUGACCUCAGAACCACUACAAGACCAUGGGGGACGACUGAGACCUGGAGCUUAUUUUUCAUCCAAACUGGACUCUGUUGCAGCCAAACUGCCUGAGAGCUGUGGCGGCUGCUGAAAAAGCAGCCAUGGCAUCACGUGACAUUGUGGGUUAUUCAGACUUGACAUUGUUGGUUCCACAUGCUGUCGAUGAUUUUGCUUGAACAAAAAACAUCUCAUCUCUCCACAUCCAGGUGGCUGAGAUACAAGACCGUGUUGCUUGAUAUAUCUAACAUUACUGCACUGUACUGAAUCCUGCUACUCUCCUCCCAACUCCAGGUGAAGGACAGCCGCAUGAUUGUGUUGCAGUCAUAGCAGAAACCUGCUCUCUAAGGGCAGACUUGCAGGAGACUCCUCUAACAAACCCAGACAUGGAGUUGUUUGUGGACGGCUCAGCAUCACGUGAUCCAGCUCCUGGUCAAAAACGUCAUCCCGAAGGCCGCAGAGAAGAAACUGCACGAUCUGGAGCCAGGGGACUGGAUUGUGGGAAAGGACUUCAGGAGAAAGGGCUCGCAGGUGGACCGGACCAUUUCAGAUACUGCUAACAACAGAAACAGCAGUAAAAGUGGCUGAAAGAGCAACUUGGAUUCACGCCACCCACUGCAUACGAGUGCCAAAGCAACCAAAAGGCCUCAAACCAGGCGAAGAUGGAGAUCAGUGAUUGAGCUGAGCUUUCCCCUGCCUUGUGUUCCUAGGGAGGGAGGGGAGUGGAGGUCUCUGAGACCACCUAGAACCACUAAUCUCCCAAACACUCACCGCGGGCACACUGAAACCAACAGAUGGCUCUGGAGAGGUGACGGACCGAGACAAAACGGAGGCGUUGUUCUGCUCACUGUCAUCAUUUCCAAACAUGAAAACAACAAACUUGGCCUGACUGAGGGAAAGUUCCAGGCCGAAGAGGAGGAGAUGCACGUCCUCCCUGACAGCCCGGCUGGGCUGAAAGACAAUGCAUGGUAUGCAACCACGAUGACCACUUCAAGAAAAGUAACCAAUCAGAGCUGUUAUGCGUGUGCACAGCUCCCUCAUGGAGUGGGGAACUCCAUACCAGUGAAACCCAGACCAAUAAAUGUUUCAGAGACACUAGGAGCCCUGUUAACCUUCACUCAAGGGUUUCCCAGGGUGGGCCGAGAAGUUAAGGAUAUGACCAAGACACUUAACUGUGUAACAUCAGCAUGGUCAACUUUAGGGUUAGGUUCUGGAACACGUCUCAGAUAACCACCAGAUGUACCUUGGACAUGGGUGUCUUUCUAUAGGCCCUUUUUUAGCCGACGUCAGAGGUACGUCACAGCGUUAGCUGGAGGCAAAACAAACGGACAACCGGAGGCGGCCAAUACAAACCAGCACAGGGUCGGCUACACAAGGAGCUUAAAAUGUCAUCUUGUUGUGUUGUCAGAAUCGACGGAGUACAGGCAAUUUGAAAUUUUAUCGCAUACCUGCUGCCACUGCCAUACAAAAACCCGAAGACAGCUGUGGUUAAACGCAAUAAAACGAGCGGACUGGACAGAAACGAUCAUCAAAAAUUCUCGCGUAUGCAGCGCACACUUCAUAUCAGGACAGGCUUCUAUGGAUGAAGACAGCCCUGACUUCGUCCCGUCUGUCUUUUCCUAUAAAUGGCAGAAUGACAGGCCUGUGGAAAAGCUGGAGAGGCUGGAAAGAAAGAGGAAACGGGAAUGUUCAACAGUGGAGCAACAGGCUUCUUGCCAUGCUAAUGAUGAUCCAGUGACACCAGAGGAAGCAGUGGAAGAAGCUGAGGCUAUGGUCCCUGAAGCAGCAUACAACAGUCUCAGUGAGAAGUAUGAUCAACUCAACACUGAAUAUGUCAACUUAAGAAAAGACUUUUACCAACUUAAAGAGGAGAAUGAAAGACUGAAAUAGGAGCUUCAGAAAUCACGCUUCUCAUUCUCCACGAUCAAAAACAAUGCUGCACACUUUGUUUCUCACUGGGUUAACUUCAGUCAUCUUCAGUUGGUUAAUGUCAAAAAUUGAAGACAGUGUGCAGAAGCGAACUGAAAGUCUCAUGCUAGAAGAUCAUUUAUUAGUCGUUCUUAUGAAACUGAGAUUGGGGCUCAGUAACAGAGAUAUUGCAUAUAGGUUCAAAGUUUCUGAAAGCACAGUGUCAAACAUUCUAAGGUCCUGGUUGCCUGUAAUGGCAAACAUCUUGAAAUCCAUUAUUAAAUGGCCAAGUAAAGGUGCUGUCCUUAAAAAUAUGCCCAAAAGUUUCAGGCGACAUUUCAAGAGAUGCAGGUGUAUAAUUGACUGUACAGAGAUAUUCAUAGAAAGACCUAAUAACUUGACUGCCAGGGCUCAAACCUGGUCCAAUUACAAGCAUCACAACACUGUUAAGUACCUGGUGGGAAUAACACCUGCUGGGGCAGUUUCAUUUCUGUCCACGGGCUGGGGUGGGAGAGUGUCAGAUAAACAGAUAACACUUGAAUCAGGAUUUUUGCACUUGUUGGAGCCCAAAGAUGAAAUCUUAGCGGACAGGGGGUUUUUGAUCAGGGAUCAACUUGCUGCUUAUGGUGCCACUUUGCGUAUACCAAAUUUUACCAAAGGAAAGAGUCAGUUACCUGCUUGUGAAGUAGAUUCAUCCAGACAACUGUCACGUGUGAGAAUACAUGUAGAGAGAGUUACAAGCAGAUGGAAGAGUUUCAAAAUUUUGCAUUCUGUUAUUCCUAUUUCCCAAGUUAGCCUUUUGGAUGACAUGGUGAUUGUGUGUGGUGCUCUUACCAAUUUGUGUAAAUCUGUGGUACCCAGAAAAGAGAGAGUGUGUCGUGUAUGAAAUAUCAGUGUUGUGUGUACAACAAUAUACUGAUGAUUUAUAUGCUUUUCACUCUAAUUCAAUUGAGAAUUGUUUUAAUUAAUUGUGAAUCAUCUGUGAUUGUAUAUACAUUGUUGUUAAUUGUGAGUGGAAUUUUUAAGAACCUGGUAAGAAAGAAUAAUUAAAUACAGAAGUUUUAUAAUUAA